rnacentral:rRNA from 1 species
GAUGAACGCUGGCGGCGUGCUUAACACAUGCAAGUCGAACGGUGAAGGCGGAGCUUGCUCUGCUGGAUCAGUGGUGAACGGGUGAGUAACACGUGAGCAAUCUGCCCCUGACUCUGGGAUAAGCGCUGGAAACGGCGUCUAAUACUGGAUACGAGCUGCGAAGGCAUCUUCAGCAGCUGGAAAGAACUUCGGUCAGGGAUGAGCUCGCGGCCUAUCAGCUUGUUGGUGAGGUAACGGCUCACCAAGGCGUCGACGGGUAGCCGGCCUGAGAGGGUGACCGGCCACACUGGGACUGAGACACGGCCCAGACUCCUACGGGAGGCAGCAGUGGGGAAUAUUGCACAAUGGGCGAAAGCCUGAUGCAGCAACGCCGCGUGAGGGACGACGGCCUUCGGGUUGUAAACCUCUUUUAGCAGGGAAGAAGCGAAAGUGACGGUACCUGCAGAAAAAGCGCCGGCUAACUACGUG